rnacentral:rRNA from 1 species
UGAGUCUCCUGAAGGAACGUUGAAGACGACGACGUUGAUAGGCCGGGUGUGUAAGCGCAGCGAUGCGUUGAGCUAACCGGUACUAAUGAACCGUGAGGCUUAACCUUACAACGCCGAAGCUGUUUGG